ACACAAAGCCUGUUUGCCUCGUGAUUAGUGCCACCUUUAUAGCCCACUCUCACAGUCGCUGCACAAAACCCAAAUCCUCUCACUUUCUCCAUACAUAUACUCAGAUACUCUUUCUCUUGCUCUGUGCUGUUGUGGGUUUAGGGUUUAAGAUGUGUCCAGCAAUUCAACCCCAAACUCAACUUGGCCAUGGCUUUCGUCACUUGUUCAUUCCAUUCCCUGAGAGAUGGUUUGUGCUAAAAAGGUUCAGAGAUUACACUGAUGCCUGCUGUAAGGGUUUUUCUCUGUUCCAACAUAAUAUAUGACAAAUUUAUCACUUAAAGGUACUGUUGGAAUUUAGGGAUUAAUAUACUUCAGGUCAUGAAUAGGGAAUGAAGCCAUUGGUCCGCAUAGCAUAGCGAUAUAUGUAACAUAUUCAACAAUUUCUGUACAUUAUUUUUCUAUUUUAAAAAUAGUAGAUGUUAUGCUGCAACUUCUAUUUUUAAUCUGUUUGUUUUUGAGUAAAUUACUUAGUGAUAUGUUGAUCUCUCUCUCUCUCUC